rnacentral:lncRNA from 1 species
GGAGAAAGUAACUUGGCCCCUGCAUUGAUUCUUUGGCAGACAAAGGCUUUGAACGCAGGUCCCCAACCCCUGGUGUGAAAUUCAAGUGCUUCUGCUCAGCCACAUUGACUUGAGGUUUUCUAUCUCUCGAAGGGUGCAAGCGGAAGGGCAAGCAGCCCCCUCUAUCGCUGGGGCAUCAGGAGAUGGGAUGAGCAGCCGCUGGAACGGUGGGACUCUGGGGGUCUGAGCACCCUGCUUGCGGAGGAGGCUUCCGGGGUGCUGGCAGCGCUGGAGCGGAAAUACCGGGUUCUCCAGAGGAAACUGUGCGCUGAGAUGCUGCAGGCACACUAUGGGCAUCCGGUUUGGACCUCCCUGUCUCAGGCCGCGAAAGAGGACAAGCUCUCUGAGCUGGAGACCCUGGUGGAUUUCGGCCUGCGCGAGGGAAGUAUCCUGCCCCUCUCCAGCCUGCCUGGGGCGCAGCACGAAGUCAGAUCUGGGGCACCGAAGGUGGGCGAUACCAACGGGGGACCCCUCGACCCCUCGGUCACAGAGGGCACAGCCGCCCACGCCCUCCUGCAGUUGCGGCGCAGGAGGCAGGCAGAGACGGCAGCUCUGCUGACCCACCGGCACCUCCAGGGCGGCAGCAACCCAGAAACCUCGCGCCAACUGUUACAUCUGCAUGCACAGACAGAGCUCGUCCACCAGGAGGCGUCGUUCCCAGCUGCUCUGCUUGCGAUAGAGCUGUUCUUGGGAGAAAGGUUUUGGGACUCGCAGCCCAUCGAACCCGGAGCCCGGCACCUGGAGUUGGCUCAGCUGCGGCUUGCCGCAGGGAGUGGACCGGCGUCGGCAUGGCAGGAGGCCAAACCUGCGCCAGGAAGAUUGAUGGCGGUAAAACCAGGAUGAUCAGCCAAAUGGGAUAUUGGUGCUUGCCAACUAGAGGCGAAGGGGAACAUGGGAUAGCAGACAAAGGGCCCAAGUGUGGCUGUCAGCUUCCUGCCUUUAGAAGAGCCCCUUCUCUGCUUCCUCAAGAGUCGCUGAUCUGUGCGUGCCUGCAAAUGGAAUGAGGCAAGCUCAGAGCUGUUACUCAUACAGAGAGAAAACGGGCACAUCCCUUUCCGGGGAGGACAUUCUGCUAGGAAACUGCCCAGGGAGUGGUCAAACGCGCCAUUCAUGACCAAUGCAGUGAUACAACAGGUUGAAGAACAGUGUAUCCUUCAGAGAGGCGGCAGGCACACUCCUCCCGGUAGGCUGGGAUGGCAGGAGCCUUUAAGCUGUGCAUUUUUCACAGCCCAGCAAUAAAGCCCUGCGCUUUACUUUUUGCAAACCCCUUUGGCAAAGAUGUAGGAUGUGAUGCAUAGAUAGCAGUCAAGUACAACAUUCUUUGUUUUCCUAGAGUGGACAUGCAGGGAAAUGUUUCCUCCAGUCAGUAGAAAACUUCCUGCUUCCUCCUGAGCUGGGACAAACUUCCUCUGCAUGUGAUUAGAGGUUGCGUAACACAAACACACAGGUAACACAAAAGGACAAGGCACGCUGCACACUCUCUCUUUUGACUUCCUCUCCAUCGUAGGACCAGCAGCUUUUUAGCUAGAGAUGCACAAAGGGACUAUUCCCAUAUGGGGUAGAUUCCACAUGUAUAUCCUCUGUAGCUAAGUCUGCCUUCAGGGAUCCAUCUGUGAACUGAAUGUGUGAGUAAACUUCUUUUAUAUAUACUUUGCAGAAGAUUAGUAAAGGUAAAGGUACCCCUGCCCGUACGGGCCAGUCUUGACAGACUCUAGGGUUGUGCGCCCAUCUCACUCUAUAGGCCGGGGGCCAGCGCUGUCCGCAGACACUUCCGGGUCACGUGGCCAGCGUGACAAAGCUGCAUCUGGCGAGCUAGCGCAGCACAGGGAACGCCGUUUACCUUCCCGCUAGUAAGCGGUCCCUAUUUAUCUACUUGCACCCGGGGGUGCUUUCGAACGGCUAGGUUGGCAGGCGCUGGGACCGAGCGACGGGAGCGCACCCCGCCACGGGGAUUCGAACCGCGACCUGACGAUCGGCAAGUCCUAGGCGCUGAGGCUUUAACCCACAGCGCCACCCGCGUCCGUUGCAGAAGAUUAUGUCGUGUCUAUUCUUUUUAAGGGGGAGAAAAGGGGAUGACAAGGAAUCCUAAUACUGAGAAGCAGCUUGUGGGUUUAAAUGGCGAAUGUAAACUCUGCGAAGUAAAGGAACUUGCUAGCACAAGUUAGGAAGGAUAUUAUUAAACAAUAUAUCCUCUCCUGUCUCCCUGAACAUCCCCACAAAAGAAGGGGGUUGUUUUUAAAAGGAGGCUGGUUGCCCUGUUUGAAUAACGCUGCCAGAAUUAAGGCAAGAUGGAAAAAAGCACAUAAAAUAAGAAACUUGCUUCAAAUACACGUCUGUUUUACGUAUCCAAGGUCAGGGCCUUUGGACCCGGCUGAAUGUGGCCCCCAGUAUGGAAACCUCCUCCCCUUGCUUUCGCCACCUGGGCUCGGGUAGCGCAUUCGUAGAACAAUAGAACUGUAGAUGUGGGGCCACGGAGGCCAUGUGUGUUUCUCCUUCUGGCCCCAUAGCAGGUGCUGCUGGACCGCCUGCUGCUGCAGCAACAGAGGGACAGAUCCUGCCUGAUCCAGAUCUUGUUGGCUCUUGCUGAGCCAGAGGGUGCCCAGGAAAGAGGCCGUGGCAGAAAGCAGCCGACCUCCGUGGGAGCAGGUACAGCAAUGGAAGGAAUCAUAGAAUCAUAGAGUUGGAAUAGACCACAAGGGCCAUCGAGUCCAACCCCCUGCCAAGCAGGAAACACCAUCAGAGCACUCCUGACAUAUGGCUGUCAAGCCUCUGCUUAAAGACCCCCAAAGUAGGAGACUCCACCACACUCCUUGGCAGCAAAUUCCACUGUCGAACAGCUGUUACUGUCAGGAAGUUCUUCCUAAUGUUUAGGUGGAAUCUUCUUUCUUUUGGUUUGGAUCCAUUGCUCCGUGUCCGCUUCUCUGGAGCAGCAGAAAACAACCUUUCUCCCUCCUCUAUAUGACAUCCUUUUAUAUAUUUGAACAUGGCUAUCAUAUCACCCCUUAACCUCCUCUUCUCCAGGCUAAACAUGCCCAGCUCCCUUAGCCGUUCCUCAUAAGGCAUCGUUUCCAGGCCUUUGACCAUUUUGGUUGCCCUCCUCUGGACACGUUCCAGUUUGUCAGUGUCCUUCUUGAACUGUGGUGCCCAGAACUGGACACAGUACUCCAGGUGAGGUCUGACCAGAGCAGAAUACAGUGGCACUAUUACUUCCCUUGAUCUAGAUGCUAUACUCCUAUUGAUGCAGCCCAGAAUUGCAUUGGCUUUUUUAGCUGCCGCGUCACACUGUUGACUCAUGUCAAGUUUGUGGUCAACCAAGACUCCUAGAUCCUUUUCACAUGUACUGCUCUCAAGCCAGGUGUCCCCCAUCUUGUAUUUGUGCCUUUCAUUUUUUUUGCCCAAGUGCAAUACUUUACAUUUCUCCCUGUUAAAGUUCAUCUUGUUUGUUUUGGCCCAGUUCUCUAAUCUGUCAAGGUCGUUUUGAAGUGUGAUCCUGUCCUCUGGGGUGUUAGCCACCCCUCCCAGUUUGGUGUCAUCUGCAAAUUUGAUCAGGAUGCCCUUGAGUCCGUCAUCCAAGUCGUUGACAAAGAUGUUGAAUAAGACCGGGCCCAAGACAGAACCCUGUGGCACCCCACUAGUCACUCUUCUCCAGGAUGAAGAAGAACCAUUGAUGAGCACCCUUUGGGUUCGGUCAGUCAGCCAGUUACAAAUCCACUGAGUGAGAGAGAGCGAGAAACCAAGCGCUUACCCAGGUUUGCUUUCCUUGGAAGGAGGGACAGUGGAGACUGUGGUGUCUUUAGGAUAUAUGGCUUUAUUUACACAUUGUGUUGGGCCCGGGGGUUAACCUGAGCCACGCAGUUCAGGUCCUCCCGAAUCCAAGGAUUCCGUGAGGAGUCAGUCCAACAGGGCCAAGGCAGAAAACCAGGCUAGGUCAGACACAGGGUCUCAGGCAGGUUCCAGCAAGCAGCAAUGUUGGUCCUGUAACCUGGGGCGGGGUCCGACCGCCUUUUAUCUCUGAUGGGGUAACAGCCGGUCCUGAUCCCCCGGUGACUCACCUCCCUGUCUUGCCCGAAGGGAUGGUUUCGCUCUUCCAAUUUCUCGCAAUUAGAAUCCUGGCUGCAGCUGUGGCACACAUGAAUGGUGGUCUAACCUUCUUUAAUUUCUGUUGUCAUGAUUCCUAAUAAAAAGGUCUCCGGUCUUUUUAAGAUUAAAUGAGCAUUAAGAUAACUUCAGCAGUGUAAAUAAGUUUUGAUGGAUGCGAUAAUGGAAUACUGAAUGGUAUAGUUUUUGUAAAAUAUGCAGGGAUUUAUGAUUUGCAGAAUGAACCAUGGAAAGAGAACAAGGGGAGUCACUGAUAUCUUAAGAUGUAAAAAGGAGUACCGUAUUUUUUGCUCCACAAGACAUGCUUUUUUCCUCCUAAAAAGUAAGGGAAAAUGUCUGUGUGGUUUAUGGAGCGAAUGUGUGGUCGAUUGCUGGCUCUUGUUCAGGCCUUCAUUGUUGAAUGUUCUGCAGACAGAGGCUGUUUGUUUCCCCAGCGACAUGGGACUGUCUGGAAACUGUAGAAACGGCUCCCUUUCCUUUUUCUAAAGAAGCUGCAGAACUGUGAGUUGAACCCCAUAAAGACAGGAUUUUUUUUCUCUUUGCAAAGUAAGCUCAACAACUUUGAGCUGAUCCUCAAAAAAUGGGGCUGUCCCCCUUUCCUCCUCUAAAAACUAGGUGCGUCUUAUGGUCAGGUGCAUCUUAUGGAGCGAAAAAUACUGCACUUUAAAUUGUAAAACAGAAAAUUUAAUGAAACACACACACACACACACACACACACACACACAACCACCCCAAAAAGUUCUCCCAUGGCCACAGCCUUAGAUUCAAGUAGAAAUCAAGAAUGUCUCUCCUGCAGAGGCUUCAGUCAGCAGCCUCCUAUCAGCUCCUAGCUCUCAGACACACUCAACUCUGGCUUUUGUCACUGCCAGCUGGUUGGGGGAGCAUGGAUUUGAACCCUGUCUCUCCCAGCUGCUGGUCCGGCACACAAACUCCCAUGUCACACCAGCUCUGACUUUCUGUUGGCACUUUUGCCUCUCACUCCCCUCGCGUGUUGGAGCCUGUAGUGAGCUGGACUAUCCACACACACACCCCAACCAUUCUUCCUAGACACCGGCAGGACUUGGCCAGGAAAGGGGAGAGAUCGCUAGUUGUUGCAAAUCACAAGCCAAACGGCAAAGCUGCCUCCACCUCCGUUCCCGGACCACCCUCGAACGGGGUUCAAGAAGGAGAAUCCCCCUUCAAUAUUUACCAGGUUUGCCCAGCCCUGAGUCACUUUACCGUGACACAGACAGAAAUUCAACAGGUAGGUGUCCAAACGGCAAGGCACCAGUUUAGCUUCCGCGAGCAAAGGCACAGAGUUGUUGUCCUUUAGUCAUUUAGUCGUGUCCGACUCUUCGUGACCCCCUGGACCAGAGCACGCCAGGCACUCCUGUCUUCCACUGCCUCCCGCAGUUUGGUCAAACUCAUGCUGGUAGCUUCGAGAACACCGUCCAACCAUCUUGUCCUCUGUCGUCCCCUUCUCCUUGUGCCCUCCAUCUUUCCCAACAUCAGGGUCUUUUCCAGGGAGUCUUCUCGUCUCAUGAGGUGGCCAAAGUAUUGGAGCCUCAGCUUCACGAUCUGAAAAGACAAAAAAGUCCUUUUCCAAGUUUAUUGAACAAGCUACUCAAAAAGUUGCA